AUUGAACGCUGGCGGCAUGCCUUACACAUGCAAGUCGAACGGCAGCACGGGAGCAAUCCUGGUGGCGAGUGGCGAACGGGUGAGUAAUGUAUCGGAACGUACCUUACAGUGGGGGAUAACGUAGCGAAAGUUACGCUAAUACCGCAUAUUCUCUGAGGAGGAAAGCAGGGGACCUUAGGGCCUUGCGCUGUUAGAGCGGCCGAUAUCAGAUUAGCUAGUUGGUGGGGUAAAAGCUCACCAAGGCGACGAUCUGUAGCGGGUCUGAGAGGAUGAUCCGCCACACUGGAACUGAGACACGGUCCAGACUCCUACGGGAGGCAGCAGUGGGGAAUUUUGGACAAUGGGCGCAAGCCUGAUCCAGCCAUGCCGCGUGAGUGAAGAAGGCCUUCGGGUUGUAAAGCUCUUUCGGCCGGGAAGAAAUCGCAUUGGUUAAUACCUGGUGUGGAUGACGGUACCGGAAUAAGAAGCACCGGCUAACUACGUGCCAGCAGCCGCGGUAAUACGUAGGGUGCGAGCGUUAAUCGGAAUUACUGGGCGUAAAGCGUGCGCAGGCGGUUUUGUAAGACAGGCGUGAAAUCCCCGGGCUCAACCUGGGAACUGCGCUUGUGACUGCAAGGCUAGAGUACGGCAGAGGGGGGUGGAAUUCCACGUGUAGCAGUGAAAUGCGUAGAGAUGUGGAGGAACACCAAUGGCGAAGGCAGCCCCCUGGGUCGAUACUGACGCUCAUGCACGAAAGCGUGGGUAGCAAACA
rnacentral:rRNA from 1 species